UACGUAGGGUGCGAGCGUUAAUCGGAAUUACUGGGCGUAAAGCGUGCGCAGGCGGUUUUGUAAGCCAGAUGUGAAAUCCCCGGGCUCAACCUGGGAACUGCAUUUGUGACUGCAUCGCUGGAGUGCGGCAGAGGGGGAUGGAAUUCCGCGUGUAGCAGUGAAAUGCGUAGAGAUGCGGAGGAACACCGAUGGCGAAGGCAGCCCCCUGGGCUAACACUGACGCUCAGGCACGAAAGCGUGGGGAGCAAACAGG
rnacentral:rRNA from 1 species